rnacentral:rRNA from 1 species
GACGAACGCUGGCGGCGUGCUUAACACAUGCAAGUCGAGCGGUAAGGCCCUUUCGGGGGUACACGAGCGGCGAACGGGUGAGUAACACGUGGGUGACCUGCCCUUAGCUCUGGGAUAAGCCUGGGAAACUGGGUCUAAUACCGGAUAUGACUCCAUGACGCAUGUUGUGGGGUGGAAAGCCUUGUGCGGCUAGGGAUGGGCCCGCGGCCUAUCAGCUUGUUGGUGGGGUGAUGGCCUACCAAGGCGACGACGGGUAGCCGGCCUGAGAGGGCGACCGGCCACACUGGGACUGAGACACGGCCCAGACUCCUACGGGAGGCAGCAGUGGGGAAUCUUGCGCAAGUGGGACGAAGCCUGACGCAGCGACGCCGCGU